CUCGCAGAUGGAAUUCAAAUACCUGUCGUGUUCAAGACAGCCCCAUGGGGAUUAUAGGUGGAUGUCAGAACUAUACCCAGAUUCAGACAUGUGACACUUUCGGGCUGAAGCACUUAAGAGCCAGUGUGCCCUGUCCAUUUCUGUCUUCUGUCCUGUGGAUUUGGAAGCAUGUGUUGACAGAACAAUGUCUUAUGGUGAAGGAAGCCUAAACCCCUGAGUCAUUGGAUGGAGGAGAGCCCAUGUUGACCCAUAAAGGACUUCAUGGUCUCGCUCUGUCACCCAGGCUGGAGUGCAGGCGUGCUAUCUUGGCUCACUGCAACUUCUGCUUCCCGAGUUCAAGAGAUCCUCAUACCUCAGCCUCCUGAGUAGCCGGGACUACAGGCAUGCGCCACCACACCCAGAUAUGACUUAGAAUAUGAUUGAAUAUGAAUACAUGAUUGAAGAUAUAUUAUAAAAUUGAGAUACUUGUUGCAACACAACAGGGAAAUGAAUACAGAAGGGCUCAAAGUAUUUUAUAGAGGGUAUACGAGCAAUUUGACGUCGCAGAAAACCUGUCAGAAAGAAGCACCAUGGAAUAGAGGAAAGAGGCCCGGAAUCCAGCCCCGGGAACUGUGACAGCCUCUGGGGUGGGGACUCUCGUGGAAAGGCUAGAUGAUGGAGUCACGUGCUCCCUUCCCGUUCACUAGCUGCUGAUUGGCCAACUGCUCCUGCCAGCUGUCCCUGCACUCCAGCUUCCUACCAUAUGCUCCAGAAUAACGUCUGGAAAGUGAGCCCCAUCCAUCAAGUUUGUCACACCUUGCACUCAAUCUGCUACCUUCUCUACAGUAUUUGUCCACGUCUCUGCCCUGCUUCAAAUCCUUCAGAGGCUCCCCAUCACCCACAGGGAUGAUCUUUCUGAAAUGGAUUUGGCCAUGCCAGUCUCCUGCCUGAAACAGCCCUCCUGGCUCCUUGUCACUCAAAGGAAAAGGCAAACUCCUCAAGACUGCACAUAAUGCCCACCUUCCCAACCAGCCUCUCCUACUGCCACUCUCUCUCCUACACCCUACCUUCCAAACCCUACUUGGGGUUCACCCUCACAUGCUGGAGUUUUCCCAUCUCUGAGACUUCAUUCAGGCAGUUCCUUCUGGCUUCGGAGGCUUCUUUGUUCCUAAAGUUCAUACUUUAAGACCUAGCUGAAAUAUCAAGGCUUCCUGGACUCUGCAGGUGACACGAGCCACUGUGCUCCUGGAUGCUUCAGAACCUGUGCAGAUCUCUGUCUUCACUCCUACUAUGGCAUCUCCUAGCAUGUUCUACACUGAGCUCCACUGGGCCUUGCAUGUCAGUAUCCCGAAUUCUGAAUGAAGCUUGGAACAUGGGAGGUGCAUCCACUAACAACAUGAAGAAUGAAGACAUGUGUGAGUAAAUGAACAGUUCUCUUCUUAGUGGAAGUUGGCAAAUAGUUGUGAACUUUAAUAUGAUUCUGACAUAUUAAUAUCUUUAUUUUUAGAUAACAGAGUAGAUGGAAACCAUAUGGUAAAACCUAAAGCAAAAUCCACCCUCUAACCUUUCUGUAAGUGAAACACCCAAUUUUCUCGAAGGUGCAGUAAAAGAGCUAAAGCACAGGAGACUAAGUCAUGCAGGCCUAGCUUAGUGUUCUCCUGCCAAUGAUCUGCUGCAAAGACCACCAGGGACACAUCUGUAGUUGAACAUGUUGGGUUAUUCCUCAGCGCAGAGGGAGGAGCAAUGAGGCAUCUCUGAAAGAGGGUGUUAGAAAGAAUGUAUCACAAGAUUUGGGCUUAAGGUAAGUAAUUUUGGGGAUGGUCAACAAAGUGGGGUUUUUCUCUGAAUUGGAUGCUGUCAUAAUGUGGGGGUAAUUCUGUGAUUAUCCCAACAAUACUUAUCUGGAAGGCAAGAAGAACAGAGCAAGGCUGAAACCAGGCUAGAGAAAUGUUUGAUCAGUUUUCCAAUUUUGACAAUGUUCAUGUUUUGCCUGUGUUCAGCCAUGAUGACCUGGUGGUCUUGAUUUUGUCUUGACCUAUCAUGGUCACUAAGUGGCCUUGCCUUAUGCUGAUGGUAUGUGAAAUGUUGAUGUUCAACAGGAGAAUGCCAGCACCUUGCUGUGGGGGUGGGCCUGCCCCUGACUGUCAGAGGCUGCUGUUCUUUUUCUUACCAUCACACAUUUAGCAGCCCUAGGAUUCUGUGCAGGGUACUUAACGUCUUUGGGUGCCAGUUUCCUCAUCUGUAAAAUGAGGCUAGAAAUACCCUCUGUGAAGGAGAAAACAUGUUGAUUGUCUAGCACAGAGUCUGAAACAUAGGAGAUACUCCAAAAAACAUUAGGUCCCUUAUGUCUGGGAGUGUGGCUUUAUCCUCCCUUUAUAGACAAUGGUUUUAGGCCUAAUAAUCACCUGUGGGUUUCUUUUCAAAUGGCCUCUCCUUCAUAGCACAUAGGUGCAAUUGCAGAUGAGCUCUCAGUUAUUAAUAAAAGAAUGGUGCUGGACCAGCCUAGGAAAAUUGUGCAGAAUGAAUGUGGAGUUAAUGCAAACAACCUGGCUGCAGGGCCCUGUGGAUAACAGAAACUUCCACCGUUUGCAGACUACUCCACAUGUCCUUUAACUAUCUAUGAAUUAUGUGCUCGACUACAGCAGCCAAGUGGACUCACAGAACUGGAGUAAUAAUGGUAUAUCUCUACAGAAACUUUUACAGUUUAUAUACGGUCUUUCCAAUGUCACAUAGUCUUACUUGAGCUACACACCAGGACUGUGCCUUUAGAGCUCCUGUCUUCAUUUUACAGCAAAGAAACCUGGGCUCCCUGCAGUUGGGUGACCUGUGCAGUUACUCAGCCAGCACACAGCAGAGCUGGGACAUACUGCUUUUUUUUUUUAAUCUUUUUUAGAUUUUUAUUUGUGGUGAAACAUAAACAACAUAACCUUUGCCAUUUUAACCACGUUUAAGUGUACAAUUCAGCAGCAUUAAUUACAUUCACAAUGUUGUGCAACCAUCAGCAUCAUUUCCAGAACUCUUUCAUCACCCCAAACAGAAACUCUGUACCCAUUAAGCAAUUAACUCCCCAUUCAUUCCCCAAAUCCCCAGCCCUAGUCUAAUCUACUUUCCAUCUCCACGAUUUUACCUAGUCUUGUUUUUAAAUCAAUUUCAGUGAGGUAUAAUUUACAUACAAUGAAAUGUACCCAUUUUAAAUGUACAGUUUAAUGAACUUGACAAAUAUAUACACCCAUGUCAGCUAUAGAGCAUUUCUUCACCCUAAAGACUUCUCUUGUGCCUUCUCAGUCAACUCCCUAUCUCAGUGCCAGCUCUGAUCUGCUUUUGAUUGCUAUAGACUAGGUUUGUUUUUUCUAGAGUUUCAUGUAAACAUACUCAGGUCUUUUUAAGCCUACUAUCCUCUCCACUACCACGUGUUCCCUCUCAUAGAAGGUUGAAGCUGGAAGGGCCCUCACACCUACAGCUCCUUUUCCGCAUGAAGAAACUGAAGCCCCAGACACAAGGGGUACUUUCCCAAAGCUAUACAGGAGACAGUGGAGAGCCAGGGAGCAGCUCAGGGUUCAGACUCCCAUUUCUGUGCUGGUUUCCUUGCUUUCUUCUCCCAGCCCCAGCUCUUUGGCAUGAAGUAUAAGGGCAAAUGGUUUCCUAUGUCACAUUAUAACAAGACGCUCUUGGAAGCUACCUAAAUUGUGCUGAUUACUUUCUGCCCAUUUAAUAUUUCUUGUAUUUGUUUUUGGAAAGAUUGACUACCUUUGACAAAAGUAUGUCAAAAGCAAUACAUCUUACUAGUGGAGCGAAGACACUGCAUGCUGACAAAGGUGAUCUCAGAUGUGAGGUCGAUGGUGCGCCAUGCAAUCAGCUUGCUGAGUGAGCCUACUUAUGCCCCAUCCCGGGGGCCUAGGGUAAGAAAAGUGCCAAGCGAAGCUGAGGAUCAGACUAAAGCUGGAAGGUGUCAAGGCACAGGCUGAGUCAUCAGAACACCUUCCCUGAAUUGUGUCAAACAAGUGUACAUGUGCUCAAGUGUAUCUGGAUUCUGAUUUGGCUGCACAGUCACUGUUUUCCAGAUGUUUGCAGAAGAAAUAUGAGCUGGAGGAGACUCACUGAAAGCUGGAACUAGAAGGAUGCACACUGCUCAUCCAAGCCAAUUCACUUAUUUUACCAAUGAUAAAACUGAGUCUCAGAGAAGUCAUACGCUUGCCCAAAGACACAGCUUGUGGUGGAGGAGUCAACACCAGAACUCUGGUCCAGGACUGCAAAAAAACACUUAACAUGUGCUAAUAAUGAGGAUAAAAGAUACUUCAAAUUCUGGGAGUUCUAUAAUGUUUGAGCACAUAUACCAUUGAAUCCUUUUAAUAACCCAUCGCUUACACAGAUGAGGAAACCAAGGCUCAUAGAAAUAAAGUGCUUUGCCAAAAGGCACAAAACUGGUCAGUAAUAAAUCUGAUCUCCAGGUUCCCAGUCCAGAACUUUCUGCAGCACUAUCUUUUUGUUCCCUUUAACUACCAGAAGCUUUAACCCAAAAUGAGGCUUCAACUAUAAAAGCUAUUUAAGACCUUAUGGCUGCGUAUCUCUGCCCUAAGUUUUCUCUUGAUCCUUAUUUUAUAUUCUAAUGUUUAAAACUUGUUCCCCAAAUUUUUAAAGUUUGCAUUCAUUUUAUUUCAAUAAGCCACGCCAAAAUCUGUGUGUCAUAAGCUAUCUAUACGUAAAUAAAUGAACGAAUGAAUGAGCAAACAAACAAAAUCUUAAGAGGCAGAGUAACAUGGUGGAAAAAUACCAGGCUUACAUUCAAUUCAAUACCACUUUGUCUAUUGUCUUCAUCUUUGAGCCUCACUUUCAUUAUCUGUCAAACAGGUCUAACAAAAUUUAUCAUUAAGCAUUAUUAUAAGUCUAAAAAUAAACAUGGAACAUAUGAAGAA
rnacentral:lncRNA from 1 species